GUUAAUUGGACGACCUGGGAUAGGCUGACUUACUGAGAUACCACGCUGCAACCAUAUAAAGGUGUCUCCGUGGGAUCUGCACAGCACUGCAGAUUUCGACAUGAAGGCUAUCUUUUUCCUCGCUCUGGCGUCCCUCUUUGUCCUUGGUGCCGUUGAAGCCCAGACUGGGUGUGGCAUCAUUAACGUAUGUGUCGAGGACAGGGUCUGCGCCCUUGAGUGCCCCGGAUGUAAUGGCACCCCACGCUGCGUCCACACAGGCCUCAUCGGCCAAUGCCAAUGUGACAGCACCUAGGACCGCUGGGUAGCCUGGGUACGUUUUCUCUGAUGGUGCCGGCAGACAAAGUGAAUAUUUGAUGUACGAAUGUACACAGAAUAAAUCCACGUCUCUGAUG
rnacentral:lncRNA from 1 species